CAGCACCAGGACUUGUCCAGGAAUUGCAGUCCUUGUGGCCUAGACUGCCUUUUAAGAUUAUUUAGAAUCACAGAGCACUUUAGCCCACAGUGGUGAAGCUAGCUGGAAUUCAAGUUCUGCCCACUGGGAAGGACGAUUCCUCUCUGUGUAGGCCUGGUGUAAAUGUUCCCUCCUUGGGCACUGGAUGAAUUCUGCUCUAUGCUGCUUUUUACUGUGACAGUGCAACACUGAAUUCCAAUGCAAAGUCACACAGUGAUUUUUCUUUUCAUUCCCCAAGUAUUCAGAUUCUCUCUUCAUGCCAUGUGGUGGCUGCCAGAGAGAAAAGUGGUGUCAGCAAUUCAAGACUGUGUUUCCUUACUCUCUUCAGUGUCUCCUUCCUUGAUAUGAUGCUAAAACCAGGUUCCAUUAAGUCCAGUUUGAUAACUGCAGUAUUCAAAACUUCCUUGUCUUUGCUAUGUUUUCAUCAGAGAGAGGAAUGGAGUCUUGCCAUGGUGCCCCAGCUGGUCUUGAACUUCUGGGCUCAAACAAUCCUCUUGCCUGUGCCUCCCACAGUUAUCAAUAUUGAAAGCCAGUUACUGAUGAUAAGAUAGCAUGCAUAAUUUAUCUCUGACAGUAUUUCACAACAUUAAAUCAGCUUGGGGAAUAUAAAAGGACAUCAUAACUGUAAUUCUGAAAGAUUCCAGGAAAAGAAAGAUGGCUGUGUGAAAACAUGUACUUGGUCUGAGAAUGACAAAGGGUAAACAUAUAAAAAAUUAGAAAUCUUUAGAAAUAAGUGCUACAAAUUGAUUUACUGAAGUGGUAGUCUAAUUUUGCUCUUUUGCAAGAAAAAUAUCUAACAAAUAUCAAGUCUAUAUAGCUUGUCAGUUGCUUUUUCAGAUACAGUCAUGUAACAUACAACCAUAAUUUGGUCAAGAAUUGACCACAUAUACUAUGGUGGUUUCAUAAAAUUACAAUGGAGCUGAAAAAUAUCUGUUGCCUAAUGAUUACUUGAUGAAAAGUAUAUAGAAAAGGAAUACAAAAAAGAAAAUAUUUUUCUAUAGCCAUAGAACCGUGCUUUUUAAGGUGUUACUGUAAAAGAGUCAAAAGUUUUAAAACUUUAAAAUUUAUAAACCUAAAAAUGUUACAGUAAGCUAAGGUUAAUUUAUUAUUAAAGAAAGAAAAUUAUAAAAUAACUUCAGUGAAGUCUAAGCUUACAGUGUUUGUAAAGCCUACAGUAGUUAGUGUACAGUAAUAUCCCAGGUCCUCACAUUCACUCACCACUCACUCAGAGCUUUAGUCCCGUAAGCUUCAUUCAUGCUAAGUACCCUAUACAAGUGUAGCAUUUUUAAUCUUGUAUAUCAUAUUUUUAGUGUACCUUUUCCAUGUUUAGUCUUGUUUAGAUGUACAAACACUUACCAUAGUGUUACAAUUGCCUACAAUAUUCAGUUCAGUAACAUGCUAAACAGGUUUGUAGCUUAGGAGCAAUAGGCUAUACUAUAUAGCCUAGGUGCAUAGUAGAAUUUUCCAUCUAGCUUUGUUUAAGCACACUCUAUAAUAUUCACACAAUGAUGAAAUUGCCUAAUUUGGGGGACGUAUGCUAUGUCCUCUGGAUAAAUAAUUUUCUAUUUCUAAAUUAAAACCCUAGAGAGUGACCAUACAUCUUAGUUUGCCUGUGAUAUAACUUGUUCAUAUCACAUGUAUUAAGCCACCUUAAUGUUUAUAAAGACUUUUUUAUUCUUAGUGUCCUGGUAUAGAAAAUGAAUUAUCUGCUUAUCGUCCAUGGUAGACUGUAUUUAUGUGAGUAAAAAUGUAAUAUAAAAUACAUACUCUGCAGCAGAGAUACUAGAGACUGCCUGCCAUAAAGUAAUUGCUCUUUACUGAAUAAAAUGUGUGUGUUUCCAAAUAAAAAUUUAUGUGGAUUAGACCACAGUCUGAGCAUGUGUUGUAACAGUGGAUGCAAAUCACUAUAUGGCUAUUGCAUAAACUUCAUUUUCUGAAAAUUUGUGUGUGUAUUUUACAAUUCUUUGGAAACUGAAUAAAUUUUGCAAAUAAAUAUUUUUUAAAAUAACAGAAUUCAUCAUUUUAAGAUAAGCUUCUAUUCUUUAUAUUUUUAAGGAAAAUAUUACCAAUUAAUUCACGACCUGCC
rnacentral:lncRNA from 10 species